UACGGGGGGGGCAAGCGUUGUUCGGAAUUACUGGGCGUAAAGGGCCAGUAGGCGGCCAACUAAGUCCGACGUGAAAUCCCAAGGCUUAACCUUGGAACUGCGUCGGAUACUGGAUGGCUUGAAUUCGGGAGAGGGAUGUAGAAUUCCAGGUGUAGCGGUGAAAUGCGUAGAUAUCUGGAGGAACACCGGUGGCGAAGGCGGCAUCCUGGACCGACACUGACACUGAGGAGCGAAAGCCAGGGGAGCAAACGGG
rnacentral:rRNA from 1 species